rnacentral:rRNA from 1 species
AUUCGCUAGAGAUAGCUUAGUGCCUUCGGGAACUCUGAGACAGGUGCUGCAUGGCUGUCGUCAGCUCGUGUUGUGAAAUGUUGGGUUAAGUCCCGCAACGAGCGCAACCCUUAUCCUUUGUUGCCAGCACGUAAUGGUGGGAACUCAAAGGAGACUGCCGGUGAUAAACCGGAGGAAGGUGGGGAUGACGUCAAGUCAUCAUGGCCCUUACGAGUAGGGCUACACACGUGCUACAAUGGCGUAUACAAAGAGAAGCGAACUCGCGAGAGCAAGCGGACCUCAUAAAGUACGUCGUAGUCCGGAUCGGAGUCUGCAACUCGACUCCGUGAAGUCGGAAUCGCUAGUAAUCGUAGAUCAGAAUGCUACGGUGAAUACGUUCCCGGGUCUUUU